rnacentral:tRNA from 1 species
GCUCUUGAAAGAUAAUAGUAA